rnacentral:rRNA from 1 species
CCAGACUCCUACGGGAGGCAGCAGUGGGGAAUAUUGCACAAUGGGCGGAAGCCUGAUGCAGCAACGCCGCGUGCGGGAUGACGGCCUUCGGGUUGUAAACCGCUUUCGCCUGUGACGAAGCGUGAGUGACGGUAAUGGGUAAAGAAGCACCGGCUAACUACGUGCCAGCAGCCGCGGUGAUACGUAGGGUGCGAGCGUUGUCCGGAUUUAUUGGGCGUAAAGGGCUCGUAGGUGGUUGAUCGCGUCGGAAGUGUAAUCUUGGGGCUUAACCCUGAGCGUGCUUUCGAUACGGGUUGACUUGAGGAAGGUAGGGGAGAAUGGAAUUCCUGGUGGAGCGGUGGAAUGCGCAGAUAUCAGGAGGAACACCAGUGGCGAAGGCGGUUCUCUGGGCCUUUCCUGACGCUGAGGAGCGAAAGCGUGGGGAGCGAACAGGCUUAGAUACCCUGGUAGUCCACGCUGUAAACGGUGGGUACUAGGUGUGGGGUCCAUUCCACGGGUUCCGUGCCGUAGCUAACGCUUUAAGUACCCCGCCUGGGGAGUACGGCCGCAAGGCUAAAACUCAAAGGAAUUGACGGGGGCCGCACAAGAGG